AGAAAUUGAUCGACACUUCAUAAAGAAGAAAAUAGUAGAUGAAUCUUUAAGUGUCUCUCAUGUGACUUCAAAAGAAUAAGUGACUUCAAAAGAAUAAGUGACAGAUGUGUUUACUAAAGGAUUAAGCAGCAAAUUAUUCCAUACUUUGAUUUGCAAGUUGGACAUGUGUACCAUACUUGAACCAACUUGAGACGGAGUAUUGAAACCUCGUGUUUCAUUCACAGUAGAAUUUG
rnacentral:misc_RNA from 1 species